CCUGAGUUAACACGAUGCAGGUUUCCUCAACAGCUAUGUGAGAGAGUACAGAGCAUCGGGCUUUGGUUGCAGAGGACAUAGGUUGGAAUCUAAUGGCAUGAUCUCGGCCAAGCUACACAACCUCUGAAUUCAGUUCUCCUCUGGCCUAUAAUCGUUUGUACCUCAGAGAAGUGUGCGUGAAGGAGAAUUUCUGAGAAGUAAAGAUCCAACGGUCACAACGCAUGAAGCCCACGUAUCCACACAGAGUAACGGAGCCGUGCGGUACCAAGAGACAGCAGGUGGAGACGAAACUUGCCACGUAGCUCAUUGUACUAAGCUGCGGAGGAACCCUGCACGCACAACACGCACCUCAUCGGCUCCUGGGCCCCAGGUCACCUGUGCGCACCGUCCCGGGAGUGUGUACCACGCUCUUCCCCUGCGUGUGCAUGUUUUGAGGUUCCCUGUGACAAAUGCCGGGCCUUCAGGUUUAAGCAGACUUGAUUUAACAACAUCUCCAGAUAAAAUUCAAAACAGCUAUAGAAGAAAAUGAAUUGACUUUACAGCCUGCUAGGAUGUCGACAAUGGCUCAGGACGUACACAACUCAGAAAAAAAAAAGGGGGGGGGACUGCGGAAGGAAUCCCCUUUUCAGAGACUGAGCACGUUGGUUUGGAGUAGAUUAUAAGUAAAAUGUAAUGACGUCCACGUAAGCUUCCAUCGGUGAUGAUCAGGCGCUGGAAUGCUCGCACAUGGGCUCAUCUGAGCAUGACUAAUUCAGGACAGUUCUGUUUGUAUGGAAUUAUUUGCAUUUAUGUUUUGCCCGAGUUCAAAAAGGGUACCCUCAGGUCUUGCUCAGAGCAUGGGGGACUAAACACGCAGCUCUCGUUAACAAGCCUGCGAAAUGUGCAAGCCUGCUCCACUCCCUAAACGCUUUGCAGGAAGUGUUCCUUCUGCCAGCGUGCGGUCUACAGCAGCACCUUCCAGAUUGGAAAGCUCAGCAGAGUGGUAUAGCACCGAGGAACAAACCACCAUAUGGGAGGUCUGUCACCCAAAAGGUGGCUUGGGAGCCAGACGUUUUCUUGGGACCAAGCCAAACAAGGAAGUUCGGGCAGGUGAGAGCUGACCAGCGCUGUGCCUAAGUUCACCAGUGGACUUUGCUCGAAGGGACCCUCUCACGGCUGACAGAGGGCCUCGGAACUCUUGGGUCCCCUUCGUGUGAACAUGCGGCAGCUGUGGUGUGUCAGGAAGGAGUCCCCUUUGCCACAGAGACGAUGCCACAGUUCAAAGCGUGGCCUUGAACGUCAGACAGAUUUGGGUCCCCUGCUCACCAGCUGAUUGACCUCGGGGAUGCUGUUCCGCCCUUUGAAGCUUUGGUUUCCCCCACCGCAAGAUGGGUAUAAAAACAUGACAACUUGCCUCAUGGCUUGUGGCGAAGCAUCUUAACAUAAGAAAUGCCUAGCGCACAGUAACCACUCAAGAAAUUUUGGCUUUUUUUUUUUUUUUUCCUCAAACUCUCGGAGCCCAGGGAUCAGUCCAUUUGGGAAGCAAUUUCCUCAGCACUUGCAGUUGCUAUAAAUCAAUGGGCAGAUUGCCUGGAUUUGGGGUGGAAGGCAAUUUAAUUCCGGUGUCUCUCCUGUUUGCUUUGUUUUGCUCUGAAUUCAGGCCGUAAAAGGUAAGUUGGCAUCAGCAGUCAGCUGUUGCCACCUACAUCUGAAUGCCAAUGUCCUCUCAUCUAUUGACACAAGAAGAGAGUAAAUAAGGUAAUGUCCCCGGAAUUUUCUUUACACUAAACGUGUAAUUAGCCACUUACCCA